GAUGAACGCUGGCGGCGUGCCUAAUACAUGCAAGUCGAGCGAACAGACGAGGAGCUUGCUCCUCUGACGUUAGCGGCGGACGGGUGAGUAACACGUGGAUAACCUACCUAUAAGACUGGGAUAACUUCGGGAAACCGGAGCUAAUACCGGAUAAUAUAUUGAACCGCAUGGUUCAAUAGUGAAAGACGGUUUUGCUGUCACUUAUAGAUGGAUCCGCGCCGCAUUAGCUAGUUGGUAAGGUAACGGCUUACCAAGGCAACGAUGCGUAGCCGACCUGAGGGGGUGAUCGGCCACACUGGAACUGAGACACGGUCCAGACUCCUACGGGAGGCAGCAGUAGGGAAUCUUCCGCAAUGCGCGAAAGCCUGACGGAGCAACGCCGCGUGAGUGAUGAAGGUCUUCGGAUCGUAAAACUCUGUUAUUAGGGAAGAACAAAUGUGUAAGUAACUAUGCAUGUCUUGACGGUACCUAAUCAGAAAGCCACGGCUAACUACGUG
rnacentral:rRNA from 1 species